UACAGAGGGGGCAAGCGUUGGUCGGAAUUACUGGGCGUAAAGGGCGCGUAGGCGGCCUUCUAAGUCAGACGUGAAAUCCCCCGGCUUAACCUGGGAACUGCGUCUGAUACUGGGAGGCUAGAGUGCGGGAGAGGGAUGCGGAAUUCCAGGUGUAGCGGUGAAAUGCGUAGAUAUCUGGAGGAACACCGGUGGCGAAGGCGGCAUCCUGGACCGACACUGACGCUGAGGCGCGAAAGCUAGGGUAGCAAACGGG
rnacentral:rRNA from 1 species